AGACACCAGAGCCUCGGCAGGACAGCCGCUCGGCUCUUCGCUGCCUCCUGUGGCCCGUUCAGUAGAAGAGAGUCGCGAGCUCCGGGUUGACGCUCGUAGAAUAACGGCGCCUUGCCUGUACAUAGUUUGCAAAGCAGCUUUUUUUGUGAAGCAGGCAACGUUUCAUCUGUGAUUGUGUCGAUUUUGUGAUUGGCCGUCGGCCACCGGCAGCUCUGUGCAGAAGUAGUCCGUGUCCUCCUCGAGGAGGUGGUGACCGGAUUCACGUAUACCAUUUUUGCUACUUUGUGCCGCGACAACGAAAUUCGCUCUGCAUACGGGAAUAUCUCGACAGAUGGACAUCCUCUCAGCGUGGCUUUGGCCGUGAGCGCGUCGCACGACGCUACGUCGUCAGCGUGACCAUUGAUGCUGACCACCCCGCGUCGCCUCGGCUACAGCAGCCAGAAUGAACGCAGGUCCCACUCAGGCCAGAGCAACGAACGACUACGCCUAAAUAGCCGAAAUCCUUAAAGCCGACUCGACUUGAGAGCGCCGACACCAUGACUUCAGCGUGGAGCCAGCUGGACCAGCUGCUCACGUGCGCAAUCUGUCUAGACCGAUACCGGAACCCGAAGCUUCUGCCAUGCCAGCACUCGUUCUGCGCCGACCCUUGCCUGGAAGGGCUUCAGGACUACGCGCGGCGGCAGAUCAAGUGUCCCGAAUGCCGGGCCGAGCACCGCAUCCCGUACAACGGCGUGCAGACGUUCCCCACCAACGUGACGCUGAUGCGGUUCCUCGAGCUGCACCGAGACAUCACGGGCGAAGAACCCGAGCCGCUGCCUUCGUCCAUGGAGCGCUGCCACGUAUGCAGCGAGAAGAGCUACGUGAGCCGCUGUUCGCAUUGCGAGAAGAAGGUCUGCGAGACGUGCAAGGAGGCGCACCUGGACAUCAUGCGCCGGGAGAUCAGCCGCAUCUGCAACCAAGUCCGCAGGUGCCUGAACCGGUUGAACGACCACCUCUCCCAGAACAGCAAGAACCAGGACAAGCUAUCGCAGAAUUGCGCGCUCGUGAAAGAUGAGCUGGACGACCUCAUCAAUCGCUACAUCAAAGACCUGCAGCUGGUGCACAGUAAACUCAAGAACGAAAUAGACGUGUACCUGCAGCAGGAGCUCAAGCAGCUGUCGGCGCUUUCCGAAGAUGUCGAGACAGAAGUUAACAACAUUACAUCUAACUGCGACGUCGUCGAGAAGUACGUCAACGACGACACCGAAUGGACUGACUCGGAGCUCGUGGAGUACAAGGAGAUAUUCUCCAAGACUCUCGAGUUCCUGAGGAACUUCGAUCCGGACACGUCGGAUUUCACGAGAAGGGUCAAGCUCCAGAUCCACACGGACCCUGACGCACUGCAUCGCACGUUGGCCAAUCUGGGAGAGCUCAAGUUCAACACCCCUAUCACGCAGUCAUCCUCGAGUCUCAACAUACCCCAGCUUAACCUCGGUUCGUCCGGAGGCGGCACGGCCAACGCACUGAUGCGCAGUCAGAGCGACCACCGACUCGCAGUGCAAUUCCAAAAGAAGCAGGACUCUACCCGGUCAAUGCUAGACAUUGGUCAGCGAUACGGCGGCCAUCUCAGUGACUCCGACCGAGAUGGCAGCUUUGAGGGUCCUUCUUCAAUGUACUCUAGAAAUCGCGGUAGGGACAAUAGUGAGAACUCUAUUCUUCGAAGGUACGGUCCUGAUCGUGGCAGGGAUAGCGAUAGUGCAGACAGCCGACUCUCAAAUCGCUAUGGAAGUCGGUUCGAAGACCGAUCCUGGAGAGACGAAGGCACGGGUGGAGGUCAUCAUAAUUUCAGAUCUCGUUACGCGCGUGAGCUUAUGGACGACGACUCGGAAGGACUGAGCAGCCACACGAGGAACGUGCGCUUCGAGGAACCACCGCCUCCGCGGGAGAAAGUGUUUGACACAGAUGACGCCACUCGCGGUCCGCUCAGCGGCGUCGUAAAGCUUAGUGAUUCGGCCAAAUUCAUGGAGCGUCUCCACGAAAACCAGAUCAGACAGAAGCAAAAGCAGGCCGAAAAGGAGAGGCUGGAAAACGAGCCGCCUCCUGCUCCGGUGGUUCCCGUGCCGCCACCUAGGAGGCCCCCGUCGAGGCAGCUCAGCGAGGACGAAGUCGACAAGCAGAAGAAGGCGGCCAACCAAGCUGCGGCCGCAACCACCUCGGCGUCCGCGACGUCCCCUCCGCCGCCCCUGGACACGAGGCCGUCGCAGCUCCGACGACUCGUGCCCAAGGACGACGUUUCGUCGCGAGCGACGCCCCCCGACUCCCCGCGAACGCCAACGCCUCGCCAGAGUUCCAUCGAGAGCACGCCCACGCAGUCCAGGAGGAGUUCCACGGCUUCCGAAGACACGACGGCCAGCACGACGACGGCGACCAGCGACUCGAUGCGGUCGCGGCAGCGCCGUGGCAUCGAGGAGGAGCCGCCGUCGCGACGGGAGCUGUCUUCGCCGGCGCCCAAGCCUUCGACGCCCGCCAGGUGCACUCGCGCGCCGCUGGCCAAGGCCGUAUCUCUAGACCACGACGAUCGCCGCCGACCGACGGAUGACAGGAAGAAAGAGGAAGCGAUGACGAGGGCCGGAUCGCUGGGCGGCCCGUCUCCUGCCGCGCACCAGUCGUCGUUCUUCAGCCGUCUGAGGCCGCAGCAAGCGCAGAUCGGCGAAGAGGAAGACACCGAGUCCGAGGCGUCCACCGAAGAAGAGGACACUUCGGACGAGGAGGAAGACGAGGAGGAAGACGAGGAAGAGGACGAGGAAGAGGAGGAGACGGUGGCGGCGCAGCCCGAGAGACCCAAGACGCCCACGACGCCCACGCGGAAGAUCUCGGCGACGCAACAGGCGCCCAAGAAGGAAGAGGAUAUGACCUCGUCCGUGUCGGCGCUGCUCAACAGGAGCGCCCAGGCGCGGCGGGGCAGCCAGGACGUGCGCUCCUCGACACCCACGUCGGGCAGGCACUCGCAGUACGCGAGGGACAAGGAAGAAGAGAGCACCAGGAGCCGCUUGCAGUCCUGGAGAGACACGCCGUCAUCGUCGGUGGACGACCCCACCAUGGUGUCCUCCUCCCGAUACGGCGGCACCUCCUUCCUGGCCAGCCGAAGGCGCGGCGCUGACGAAGACCCGCCGAGAGGGGAGGAGAGCGGUCCCGGAAGCCGCCUGCUGAGCCGCAGCCGGAGCUCGGCGCUCAUGGAUCAGCCGGAACCGCGAGCCGACCGGCGCAAGAGUCAGCAGGAGAACGCCACCACGACGGCGAGGUCGACGGCGGUGAACCCGACGUCGUCUUCGGCAGCAGCGCUGCGUAGGAGCCGACUGACUCGCAGCAAGAGCUCCAACGAGGUGCUGCCUGGAGAGGGCGACAGCGGCGACGAGGCCAACCUGCCGUCGCCGUCGUACCGAAGUCGCUACGGUCAGCCUGAGAGCACCUCUUCUCCCGCUGCAGGCAGCAGCGCUCUGUCCCGUUCGAAAAGCAGCCACGCGGUCAAGGACAGCUCACCGGACGCGGGGGACUACGGCGGCUCAUCGAUCGGUGGUGGGCCCGGGACGUCAUCCAGCUGGGCCCAGUACCUGCGCAACAAGUACGGCUCCCGCGGAGCCAGCGGUCCGGGCGCCUCGGCGGGGUACGGGCCCAAGAGCGUAUCCCGGUCCCGCAGCUCGCACGCGGUCUACAGCCGCAGCGGCAGCGACGACAACAGCUCGGAGGACGAGGAGGUUCCCGCCCGGGGUCGCGGCCUGGACGGCGGCAGUGCCUCGUCGCGCCACGAUGGACACUCAAGAUCGGCACGCGAGGAACUGAACCCGGCUGUUUCACGUGGCCAAGGGGUGUCGCUGUCGGACCGGACAACUCGAUCGUGGUUGCCGACAGCAGCAACCAUCGGGUCCAGGUAUUCGACGCGUCCGGCCGCUUUCAGCACGAGUUUGGCACGUACGGCAGCUCCGAGGGCGAGUUCGACUGCCUGGCCGGCGUGGCGGUGAACCGCAUCGGCCAGUUCAUCGUGUCGGAUCGCUACAACCACCGCGUGCAGAUCUUCGACCCGUCGGGCCGCUUCCUGCGGGCGUUCGGCUGCGAGGGCCGCACGGACGCUCGCUUCAACUACCCUUGGGGCAUCACCACAGACUCGCUAGGAUUCAUCUACGUGUGCGACAAGGAGAACCACAGGGUCCAAGUAUUCCAGUCGGACGGCACGUUCGUGGGCAAGUUCGGCUCGCUGGGUUCGCGUCCGGGCCACCUGGAGCACCCGCACUACGUGGCCGUGUCGAACACGAACCGCGUCAUCGUGAGCGACUCGAACAACCACCGCAUCCAGAUCUUCGACGUGAACGGGCG
rnacentral:misc_RNA from 1 species